rnacentral:rRNA from 1 species
CUCGUCACACUAUCAUUAACUGAAUCCAUAGGUUAAUGAGGCGAACCGGGGGAACUGAAACAUCUAAGUACCCCGAGGAAAAGAAAUCAACCGAGAUUCCCCCAGUAGCGGCGAGCGAACGGGGAGGAGCCCAGAGCCUGAAUCAGCAUGUGUGUUAGUGGAAGCGUCUGGAAAGGCGCGCGAUACAGGGUGACAGCCCCGUACACAAAAGCGCAUGUGCUGUGAGCUCGAUGAGUAGGGCGGGACACGUGGUAUCCUGUCUGAAUAUGGGGGGACCAUCCUCCAAGGCUAAAUACUCCUGACUGACCGAUAGUGAACCAGUACCGUGAGGGAAAGGCGAAAAGAACCCCGGCGAGGGGAGUGAAAAAGAACCUGAAACCGUGUACGUACAAGCAGUGGGAGCACCCUUUGGGGUGUG